rnacentral:lncRNA from 1 species
GAGAAGUUCAGUAUGUUUGAAAGCAUAAUUAGGAAACUUUUUAACAUGUACUUUCUCCCUGCACUCUAAACCCCAAGGUUUAGAGAAAGUUAGGAAAUAUUUAACUUCCCACACGCUUUUAUUUACAGAGCAGUCCCCCCUUGUCUGUGAUUUCACUUUUCACGGUUUCAGUUAUCUGCAUUCAACCAUGGUCCAAAAAUAUUAAAUGGGAAACUCGGCCAGGCAUGGUGGCCCACACCUGUAAUCCCCACACAUUGGGAGGCCUAGGUGGGUGAAUCAUUGAGCCCAGGAGUUCAAGACCAGCCUGGGCAACAUACCGAGAACCUUGUUUCUACAAAAAAUACAAAAAUUAGCCGAGGGUGGUGGGACGCACCUGCUGUCCCAGUAACUCAGGAGACUGAGCUGUGAGGAUGGAUUGAGACUAGGAGGUCAAGGCUGUGGUGAGAUGUGAUUGCACCACUGUACUCCAGCCUGGGUGAUAGAGUGAGACCCUGGCCACUGACCCCCACCCCACAAAAAAAAA